rnacentral:rRNA from 1 species
CCUACGGGGCGCAGCAGUGAGGAAUAUUGGUCAAUGGACGAGAGUCUGAACCAGCCAAGUAGCGUGAAGGAUGACUGCCCUAUGGGUUGUAAACUUCUUUUAUAUGGGAAUAAAAUGUUCCACGUGUGGGAUUUUGUAUGUACCAUAUGAAUAAGGAUCGGCUAACUCCGUGCCAGCAGCCGCGGUAAUACGGAGGAUCCGAGCGUUAUCCGGAUUUAUUGGGUUUAAAGGGAGCGUAGGUGGAUUGUUAAGUCAGUUGUGAAAGUUUGCGGCUCAACCGUAAAAGUGCAGUUGAAACUUGCAGUCUUGAGUACAGUAGAGGUGGGCGGAAUUCGUGGUGUAGCGGUGAAAUGCUUAGAUAUCACGAAGAACUCCGAUUGCGAAGGCAGUUCACUGGACUGCAACUGACACUGAGGCUCGAAAGUGUGGGUAUCAAACAGGAUUAGAUACCCCUGUAGUC